rnacentral:rRNA from 1 species
AUUGAACGCUGGCGGCAGGCCUAACACAUGCAAGUCGAGCGGCAGCACGGGUACUUGUACCUGGUGGCGAGCGGCGGACGGGUGAGUAAUGCCUAGGAAUCUGCCUAGUAGUGGGGGAUAACGUUCGGAAACGGACGCUAAUACCGCAUACGUCCUACGGGAGAAAGUGGGGAUCUUCGGACCUCACGCUAUUAGAUGAGCCUAGGUCGGAUUAGCUAGUUGGUAGGGUAAAGGCCACCAAGGCUACGAUCCGUAACUGGUCUGAGAGGAUGAUCAGUCACACUGGAACUGAGACACGGUCCAGACUCCUACGGGAGGCAGCAGUGGGGAAUAUUGGACAAUGGGCGAAAGCCUGAUCCAGCCAUGCCGCGUGUGUGAAGAAGGUCUUCGGAUUGUAAAGCACUUUAAGUUGGGAGGAAGGGCAGUAAGCUAAUAUCUUGCUGUUUUGACGUUACCGACAGAAUAAGCACCGGCUAACUCUGUGCCAGCCGCCGCGGUAAC